rnacentral:rRNA from 1 species
GAUAAACGCUGGCGGCGUGCCUAAUACAUGCAAGUCGAGCGAACGGACGAGAAGCUUGCUUCUCUGAUGUUAGCGGCGGACGGGUGAGUAACACGUGGAUAACCUACCUAUAAGACUGGGAUAACUUCGGGGAACCGGAGCUAAUACCGGAUAAUAUUUUGAACCGCAUGGUUCAAAAGUGAAAGACGGUCUUGCUGUCACUUAUAGAUGGAUCCGCGCUGCAUUAGCUAGUUGGUAAGGUAACGGCUUACCAAGGCAACGAUGCAUAGCCGACCUGAGAGGGUGAUCGGCCACACUGGAACUGAGACACGGUCCAGACUCCUACGGGAGGCAGCAGUAGGGAAUCUUCCGCAAUGGGCGAAAGCCUGACGGAGCAACGCCGCGUGAGUGAUGAAGGUCUUCGGAUCGUAAAACUCUGUUAUUAGGGAAGAACAUAUGUGUAAGUAACUGUGCACAUCUUGACGGUACCUAAUCAGAAAGCCACGGCUAACUACGUGCCAGCAGCCGCGGUAAUACGUAGGUGGCAAGCGUUAUCCGGAAUUAUUGGGCGUAAAGCGCGCGUAGGCGGUUUUUUAAGUCUGAUGUGAAAGCCCACGGCUCAACCGUGGAGGGUCAUUGGAAACUGGAAAACUUGAGUGCAGAAGAGGAAAGUGGAAUUCCAUGUGUAGCGGUGAAAUGCGCAGAGAUAUGGAGGAACACCAGUGGCGAAGGCGACUUUCUGGUCUGUAACUGACGCUGAUGUGCGAAAGCGUGGGGAUCAAACAGGAUUAGAUACCCUGGUAGUCCACGCCGUAAACGAUGAGUGCUAAGUGUUAGGGGGUUUCCGCCCCUUAGUGCUGCAGCUAACGCAUUAAGCACUCCGCCUGGGGAGUACGACCGCAAGGUUGAAACUCAAAGGAAUUGACGGGGACCCGCACAAGCGGUGGAGCAUGUGGUUUAAUUCGAAGCAACGCGAAGAACCUUACCAAAUCUUGACAUCCUUUGACAACUCUAGAGAUAGAGCCUUCCCCUUCGGGGGACAAAGUGACAGGUGGUGCAUGGUUGUCGUCAGCUCGUGUCGUGAGAUGUUGGGUUAAGUCCCGCAACGAGCGCAACCCUUAAGCUUAGUUGCCAUCAUUAAGUUGGGCACUCUAAGUUGACUGCCGGUGACAAACCGGAGGAAGGUGGGGAUGACGUCAAAUCAUCAUGCCCCUUAUGAUUUGGGCUACACACGUGCUACAAUGGACAAUACAAAGGGCAGCGAAACCGCGAGGUCAAGCAAAUCCCAUAAAGUUGUUCUCAGUUCGGAUUGUAGUCUGCAACUCGACUACAUGAAGCUGGAAUCGCUAGUAAUCGUAGAUCAGCAUGCUACGGUGAAUACGUUCCCGGGUCU